UCUCUGCUCUCACAUCAUAGAGAGCAAACAGCCAAGUGGCCCAUGGUCAGUCUAGAGAACAACUGUACACAGUUCCAGUUGCAGAGGCCUUCUUGAGCCCAAACCAGAAAACUGUCUGACAGAGAAGUUCUUCAUAGAAGUUAGCCAUGUUUUAAGAAAUCUCUGAUGAGCAUAUCAAAAAGACAAAUGGACAUCUGAAAGUAUGAAAUUGCUGUAAAGCCAAGACUUCAUGUACUUAUUUUGAAGAUGAAAAGUGAAUCUGAGAAUGAAAGUACCACUGCAAGUCACCAGUUCAUAAAUUACUCCUAUUCAACCUGAAGAAAGAGCUGUGAAGGACAGCCACCUUACAAUCCCAGAAAAGCCUUACCUGAAGAGCAUGUGGCUAUUUUUCACAGAUUUUUAAAGAAUGGUUCUCAAAAUAAGCCAAGAAAUGCCAUGGGCCAUCUCAUAUGUGUACACUCUAAUGAAUUUUAUCAGGUAGACAGUUCCAUAUUACACUUACAGUUGUCCACUCAUUCUAACAGUUUCAUUAAGUAGGUUGAAAUAUCCAUUUUAGAGACACGGAUUCUAAAGAAGAGCAUUAAGUUACAGCUCAAAAAUACGUAUUCACAAGCCUGAUUUGUUUAAUGGUAUUUGAAAGUGCUCAGUGUCAACUGAUAAUUGAAACUAGAGUUUACAUGCCUAAUAAGAAUAAUUGGUUGUGUAAGACAAAUUGUUGAUAUGCUGCAUGGUGAUUUUUGUGGUUUUCUCAUAUUUUAUGUGAAAUAGAUACUUCAAAUGUAGUAUUCAGUGACGGGGAUAGAAGUGUUAAGAAAGGUAAAGCUGGAAAGGAGAACAACACAGCAGCAACACAUAUUCUGAUUUACCUGCCCUUCAUAUGCCCUGUGGGAAUAUUUCCAAUGAAAACUCUACUAUGCGCGAAGCAAGCAAACAACUGCACCUGUUCUACAACCAACAAGGAUCAGAAUCUAAAUUUUCCAACAAUGCACAUAAAUAAAAGUUCCAUCACUGAAAGAAAGUGCUUAUUCUCGAGCUUUAGUAUUAAAAUAUUAUGAUGAGAAAAACCUGCCUUAGCAAAGUGAUACCAAUGAAGUCACAAAGCAAUUACAAGAAAAAUUCACAAUGUAAAAGUCUCUUACCAAUCAAUCAAUUUCAGACAGCAAAUUUGGCACAUGCACAUUUUUUACAUUAUUUGCCAGAUUCCAAAUUGCUCAAAUUGCAGGUUUUAUUUUAUAACAAAAAGGGUGUAAAAAAAGAGGUUGUUAGGGUAGAAAUUAUGAGCAACCAGAGAAGAAAAAGUCCAGAGAAAAGAAGAACACAGAACAAGUAAACAACAUUAAAAGGAACAAGAAAAGACAUUUACAGUUCUUUUCCUGAACCCUUCUUUCCCAUUAUAAACUAUUUUGUUCCCAAAAGCCUACAG